ensembl:snRNA U6 U6 spliceosomal RNA
UUGCUCGCUUCAGCAGCACAUAUACUAAAAUUGGAGCAAUACAGAGAUUAGCAUGGCCACUGUGCGAGGAUGACACGCAAAUUCAUGAAGAGCUCCAUAUUUUA